ensembl:lncRNA
CUCACUAAUGACACGCGCUGUGCCUCCCUCACUCCGCGCCGCUUCCUCGGCGAACGCGCAGCUCCAACCACGACAAAACUGACGGAGUGACGAAAAGUUUUGCCAGACAGAGAAAGAAACUUUCUGUAACAAGGUGACAGCACUCGAGGCAGGCAGCUGUCCAGUCUGCGGACCGUCUCCAGAGAGAGAAAGGGAGGACAGGAAAUAGAGAGGAAAGACACACAGAGCGCGCGCGAGAGAGAGAAAGGAGGAAAACGGAGUACCCAGAGGAAACCCCUGAAGCACGGGGAGAGCAUGCAAACUCCACACACACAGGGUGAAGGCGGAAAUCGAACCCCCAACCCUGGACGUGCGAGGCAAACGUGUUAAUCACGAAGCCACUGCAUUUCAGAAGAUCCAGUGUUGCUUCUGGAGAAGCUCGAGAUGUCACACAUGGCAUGAGGGGAUCCAUUCAGGGCUGUGUGGAAAAUGACAG